GUGGGGGAUAACCAUUGGAAACGAUGGCUAAUACCGCAUAAUAGCUUCGGCUCAAAGAGGGGGACCUUCGGGCCUCUCGCGUCAGGAUAUGCCCAGGUGGGAUUAGCUAGUUGGUGAGGUAAAGGCUCACCAAGGCGACGAUCCCUAGCUGGUCUGAGAGGAUGAUCAGCCACACUGGAACUGAGACACGGUCCAGACUCCUACGGGAGGCAGCAGUGGGGAAUAUUGCACAAUGGGCGCAAGCCUGAUGCAGCCAUGCCGCGUGUGUGAAGAAGGCCUUCGGGUUGUAAAGCACUUUCAGUAGUG
rnacentral:rRNA from 1 species